UACGUAGGGUGCGAGCGUUGUCCGGAAUUACUGGGCGUAAAGAGCUCGUAGGCGGCUUGUCGCGUUGUUCGUGAAAAUUUACCGCUCAACGGUGAACUUGCGGGCGAUACGGGCAGGCUAGAGUACUGCAGGGGAGACUGGAAUUCCUGGUGUAGCGGUGAAAUGCGCAGAUAUCAGGAGGAACACCGGUGGCGAAGGCGGGUCUCUGGACAUUUCCUGACGCUGAGGCACGAAAGCCAGGGGAGCAAACGGG
rnacentral:rRNA from 1 species